GGCCAGACUCCUACGGGAGGCAGCAGUGGGGAAUAUUGCACAAUGGGGGAAACCCUGAUGCAGCGACGCCGCGUGAGUGAAGAAGUAUUUCGGUAUGUAAAGCUCUAUCAGCAGGGAAGAAAAUGACGGUACCUGACUAAGAAGCCCCGGCUAACUACGUGCCAGCAGCCGCGGUAAUACGUAGGGGGCAAGCGUUAUCCGGAUUUACUGGGUGUAAAGGGAGCGUAGACGGCAUGGCAAGUCAGAUGUGAAGGCCCGGGGCUCAACCCCGGGACUGCAUUUGAAACUGUCAGGCUGGAGUGCAGGAGAGGUAAGUGGAAUUCCUAGUGUAGCGGUGAAAUGCGUAGAUAUUAGGAGGAACACCAGUGGCGAAGGCGGCUUACUGGACUGUAACUGACGUUGAGGCUCGAAAGCGUGGGGAGCAAACAGGAUUAGAUACCCGAGUAAC
rnacentral:rRNA from 1 species